CUAGUCAGUCUUCCAGUCAAGACUUGAAGACAAAGAGUGCCUCUUGGGUUGGUUGGUCAGCCCGCAUUCUUCGCUUCUCUCACUCUCUAUCCUCUGUUAACUUUGCAAGUCCCCGAAACUCCCUUACUGUGUUCAGUUACUAUUACUUCACUUUUCUCUGGCCAAUAUCUUCCUUCUUUUUCUCUAAUAAUUUUUGGAUUUUGUACAAGAACCGGCAACUAUUGCAAUCUACAGAGGAUUCGCUGUUCGAAUUUACUUUGUCUUCCCCUUUUUUUGUAGUUAGGGUUCUAUUUGUUUCUUUAAAUCUUUAUUUUUCAAUCCUCAUCUGUUCUUGGGGAGAUUUUAACACUAGCGUUAUUGAUCUCUGUAGCAAUUGUUGUCUUUUAACUCCCUGCUCCAUUUUUUUAAUCUUUUGAUGCUUUUCUUCAGCCAUGGUGGGUUAUUAAGCAGUUCUGAGAGUUCCAGUUUAUGUUUGUGGCUUGUCUGAAUCUUCUUUUUGAUUUGGUGAUCGGGGUCAUAGGUGAAAUCAACCCUUUGAUGGCGGGGAUACAUGUGUGGUAUCAGUUUCACUAGUCGCAUUUUGUUUGAUUUUUCAUCUUCGGUCAUUGAAGCGAAGAAUGAUCCAUGUCCGAAGAAAUUAGGUUUUCGGCUCCCAGGUUGUUGUUGUGGGUUCUGCAUUGAGGCGAUAUCGUCGUGGUUAUAUGGUGGGAGACGAGGAAGAGGCCGCCGGUUCCCGGGGGCAGUGUCAGAUCUCCGGUGCCGGAGGUGGUGGCCGCAAAGCAUUCUGGAGGUCGGCAUCCUGGUCAUCCGGGACUUUGUUGCAGAGUUCUGCGCCUUUUGAUCAUGUCAAAGACGUUGCAGAUCCUCAUACUAGCAGCGCCGAGAAUAACAACGGUGGAGGACAGUUCCGAAGGUUUCCUGUUCCUCUCACUCCUCGAUCGCAGCAGAAUAGUAAGGCUCGCGCUUGCUUGCCCCCAUUGCAGCCAUUGUCCAUCGCUCGUCGCAGCUUGGACGAGUGGCCCAACGCCGGCUCAGAUGAUGUUGGAGAAUGGCCCCAACCGCCCACCCCCAGCAGUCGACGUGAUCCACACAAGCCCAGAGAAGGUUUGAAACUCGAUUUGUCUUCGUUUCAGAGUAACUCAGAUCCCAUUGGGACUCUUGUUAAGAAAGACAGGAUUGCCUGCUUUGAUAUGGAAUGUUCCAAGGUUGCCGAUCAUAUAUAUCUUGGUGGAGACGCCGUUGCUAAGAACAGGGAUAUUCUCCGGCAGAACGGUAUCACCCAUGUUCUCAACUGUGUGGGUUUCGUUUGCCCUGAAUACUUUAAGUCCGACCUCGUCUACAAGACCUUGUGGUUGCAGGAUAGUCCUUCCGAAGAUAUCACUAGCAUUCUCUAUGAUGUCUUCGACUACUUUGAGGAUGUCAGGGAGCAGGGCGGGAGGGUUCUGGUCCACUGUUGUCAAGGUGUGUCUCGUUCCACAUCUCUGGUGAUUGCUUAUCUCAUGUGGAGGGAGGGCCAGAGCUUCGAUGAUGCCUUUCAUUAUGUGAAGGCGGCCAGGGGGAUUGCUAACCCAAACAUGGGCUUUGCAUGUCAAUUGUUGCAAUGUCAAAAGAGAGUACAUGCCAUUCCACUGAGCCCCAGUUCGGCGCUGAGGAUGUACCGGAUGACCCCGCAUUCUCCUUAUGAUCCUCUCCAUCUGGUUCCUAAGAUGUUGAAUGAUCCUUCUCCAGCUGCCCUGGAUUCUAGAGGAGCGUUUAUUGUACAUGUGCCUUCUGCUAUAUACAUCUGGGUUGGUCGAAGCUGUCAGCCCAUCAUGGAAAAGGAUGCAAAUGGUGCUGCUUUCCAGGUUGUUCGUUACGAGAAAGUGCAGUGCCCUGUGACAACCAUUGACGAAGGAGAAGAACCAUCAGACUUUUGGGAUGCUUUCCGCAAUCCCCCAGAUUCGGUGGACAAGUCUCGUUGUGGUGUGCUGAUUGAAUCGGCAGCUAAAGCUGUGCCUGGUGAGAGGAAAGUGGACCUGUACAAUUUAGAUUUUGAACUCUUCCAGAAAGCAAUCACUGGGGGAGUGGUUCCUGCGUUCUCAACAUCAGGGACGGGACACGAAACUCACCUUCCUGCGAGGGAAAGUAAUUGGAGCGUUCUAAGGCGUAAGUUUACCUCAGCGGGUGCGAAAGAGUUCGGCUCAGCUCCUAAGGCAUCCCUUUAUAGAGUAUAUUCUGAUUCAAUGUUGAUAGUCGACACAGGCAAGCGGGUAAAUAAAUUUCCACAUUUAUCAGCAGACUCCUCAUCCUCAUCGUCAUCUUCAUCUUCAUCGUCACCUCAUUUUUCUCCAAUUUCAUUUUCUUCUGAUUCAAGUACUAGCUCUAAAUCUAGUUCGGAAUCACCAUCACUUUCCCCAUCUACAUCUUCAUCUACACUAUCACCUUCAUCUGCUUCUCCUUCCAUGGUUGAUUUGCCAUCAUUAUCAUCAAAGACAUCACUUCAUUGCAUCCCUAAACUUUCAGAAUCUCCAAAGGAUCAUCAUGCUUCAAAGCCUUGCUCUGAAAUAACUAUAUCAACAUCCAAAAGACUUGCUAUCUGCCUUGCUGAACGCAGGGGUAGCUUGUCACCUUCUCUGAAGCUGCCAGCCUUGGCCGAUGAUAAAUCUCUGUCAUCUACAUGGGACAAAAUCACAUAUUCAACUUCGGCAAGUCAACAUAAUGGAAUUGGGAGAAACAAUAAUGCAAGCUCUUUGAUAGAAGCAUGUUGUAAAGAAGAAGUCUCAGAGUCCUAUGAAAUUACUGUAAUUGAGAAGGAAGUUAAAAAUCAAGAUAGUCAGUUGCAAAUGUUUUUAGGGGCACCUCUUAAUGACCAAGCAAGCACUAAUGGAGGAGGUACUUUUGUAAAGGAGUUUCCUCUGCAAGAGGAUCAGGAUCCGUGUGUCUUUGCUGGAUUGGUGGACAAUGUUUCAGAGUUUUGUAAUCUAAUCUACCCUGUAGUUUGCCGCUGGCCCACGUUAGAAAGGGUUGCACCAUUUGGCACAGCCAAUUUGGAUUCAGAAGCUGCGUUUCUUUUCUUAGUUCCAAGUACAUUUGUAGGCAAGCUUAAAGAUAGGAUGGUAUAUUUUUGGGUAGGAAAAUCAUUCAAACAUGAUAGCCGUCACAGUCAACUAGAUAUCAGCAGCAAUGUAGGUGAUGUAGAAGCAAUUGACUGGAAUCAAGUUGUUUGUGAUUUUCUUUCUACGAUGGGUCUACCAAAGGACAUCCCGGUUGAGGUUGUUAAAGGAGAAUUGGAACCAGAGGAAUUCCUCGAAUUGUUGAAGUCAUUGUAGCAACUGCUAGGACAAAUAGAAAAAGCCUGCACAACUACUGGAUCAGAUUUCCCCCCCCCCCCCCCCCCGACUCUUUACCUCACAGAUUAUGCGUUGCAAUUUUGUUUUUCAUUUUUGUAAGAGCUUUGCCUGACAAGAUUAGCCAGGUUGCCAUGGAGGCAGUCUCUGGCAGCUUACCCGGAUGUACAGUGAUAUGACAACCCCCAUAAAUGCAGAUAAACCAACUAGUAUUCUCUCUUUGGUGGUGGAGAACAUCUCCUUGAAAUGGAAUGUAUAAAUGACAUAUCUCUUAAGGACUUUUUGGCAAGGGUAGAUAUCAUGGGACUUGGAUUUAACAUUUUUUCGUUCCAUGGAUUUGUAUACAUUGUAGACGGCAAUGUUUUUUUUUUUUGGGUAGAAUUGUAGAUGGCCAUGUUACUAGUGCAACAAUUGUAAUGCAGUACCUCCCAAAUUUGUAUGACCUGGUACAUGGGCAUUAUCUUUUUGCACAAAUCUAAUUUGUAAGAUUUCCCAAACAUGUUAGAAAUCCUGAUAUGGUGCAUUCCUGCCUUCUUGGUGUCUUACGGGACAAUAAAAUUGAUUCGAACUUUCAACUUUA